CACCAUGCUUCCCACUAUGUAUAUGAUGGAGUAAACCUCUGAAUUACUAAGCAAUUUUGUAAAUCAAUUCAUUUGAAGAAUCUGGCAAGAUAUCCGUAUUUUGAAAACCUGACAGAGAUGACUUUCAAACAAUACCGUGGAGGAAUACAGCUGUGUCAGGGCCAUCACAGGACAGGAGCAUUGUUCACCAGCCUCUCAGAGGGAGCUUAUACACUCAGAUAAUCAUUCCAAGGAGGUAAACACCACGUCCAAUUUGUUUUGGGGGACUCACAGUUAUCUGUGAAUUUCAUUGAAUUCAUUGUGGGACUAGA